rnacentral:rRNA from 1 species
GACGAACGCUGGCGGCGUGCUUAACACAUGCAAGUCGAACGGAAAGGCCCUGCUUUUGUGGGGUGCUCGAGUGGCGAACGGGUGAGUAACACGUGAGUAACCUGCCCUUGACUUUGGGAUAACUUCAGGAAACUGGGGCUAAUACCGGAUAGGAGCUCCUGCUGCAUGGUGGGGGUUGGAAAGUUUCGGCGGUUGGGGAUGGACUCGCGGGUUAUCAGCUUGUUGGUGGGGUAGUGGCUUACCAAGCCUUUGACGGGUAGCCGGCCUGAGAGGGUGACCGGCCACAUUGGGACUGAGAUACGGCCCAGACUCCUACGGGAGGCAGCAGUGGGGAGUAUUGCACAAUGGGCGGAAGCCUGAUGCAGCAACGCCGCGUGCGGGAUGACGGCCUUCGGGUUGUAAACCGCUUUCGCCUGUGACGAAGCGUGAGUGACGGUAAUGGGUAAAGAAGCACCGGCUAACUACGUG